AAGGCUAUACUUUCAGGGAUCAUUUCUAUAGUUUGAUCUUGGACAACCGGUCUCUGUAACUGGGAAAAAUCAAUUACUGUUAUUUAUAAGCUGCCUAGU
ensembl:snoRNA U3 Small nucleolar RNA U3